rnacentral:rRNA from 1 species
UACAGAGGGUGCAAGCGUUAAUCGGAAUUACUGGGCGUAAAGCGCACGUAGGCGGUUUUUUAAGUCAGAUGUGAAAGCCCCGGGCUCAACCUGGGAAUUGCAUUUGAAACUGGGGAACUAGAGUGUGUGAGAGGGGGGUAGAAUUCCAAGUGUAGCGGUGAAAUGCGUAGAGAUUUGGAGGAAUACCAGUGGCGAAGGCGGCCCCCUGGCACAACACUGACGCUCAGGUGCGAAAGCGUGGGGAGCAAACAGGAUUAGAAACCCCCGUAGUCC